CAUAUCAACCUUGCAUGCCAUCUCCUGCCAUGUUUCAUGUCCAGUGGCCACUUGAUGAUAAGGGGUGGCCUGUCCUAUUGGGUACUCUGGUGAACCUAUGGUCAGCCUCUGCACCCUAGGCCUCGUUUGUGUGGUGUUUCCACAUUUUCUCAUGGGAAUCGGUUUGGUCUUCUUGUUGAAGUGUGAUAUGGGGUCACUUUGGGUAUCAUUUCCAUGGAUUUUUGGUUCCCAGUCCACCCCUGUCCAUGCUGCAUGGGCAUGCAAAACACCUGACUGUCUCAUUUCACAUAGUGGGUGAUCCAGUUGACAUGUAUGCAUGUGGGUGAUGUGUGUAGUGUGCGGUGCAAUUCUGGUGAGGUGCAGAUAUGUCCUUUUGAUGUGUCAUGUGUGAUGUUGCUGAUGUGUUCCCAUUAAUAUGGCCAAGGAAUGUUAUGGAAAGGGGUAUAUUACCUUAUCCUUUUCCUUCAUGUUUGUGUAUCCUGUGAUUGGCUAGUUUGCUUUCUGGUAUUCCUGCAGAUUAUCUUGUAUGGGGGACAUGUUGAGUUAAUCAGAGACAUUCAUGUGGAUGGGUGGUGGUGAGCUGUUGAUUUUCCCCAUUUCAGGACUAUGUUCAUGGCUGUGGUGUGUGAAGGUGAGCAGGUCCAGCAGCAAAGGUGUGAGGGAGAGAUCAUGAACAAGACUUGUGAAACCUCCUCAUUUGCUCGCAUUGGCAUGCAGCGUGGAAUGAAACAAGGAAUGCUAAGUUGAAAUGUGUUAAGCAGUUGCCUGUCCUGCCAAGGGCCCGGCAGCCCCCACAACUGCCUGUAUGUUGCAUCCAAGGGUGACACAGUGGGUGGGGGGUCGUUUUGCCAGGGUGCCUAAGGCCAUUGUUAUGCAUUGCACUACCAGAUGCUGCUCUCUGAGCCAAGGCAUCUGGUAGUGGGCCAUAUGAAUGGAUGAAAAGACCAGAUGGCUGGCCUGGUCUGUAAGUUUGAAUGGGUGCCAAUUAGUAUAUUUACUCCGUUUGGGUAUAUAAGGAGGCUAGAAACCUUUGCCAAUAACGUCCCCUCUGUCACCCAGGGUACACAGACUGCAAUAAAGCUUGGUUACCAUCCCCGGAGUACUGUACACAAUGUGUCUGGGUCCUGCCUGUGCUCCACUUGGUUCUCGCUGCCCAAAUGGGCCCAGUGGUGAAUUGACAGCACACCCAACCCGGAUAAGGGCCACACCCUCACGCAAUGUCCCAGGAAAGCUUGGCCUGCUGGGGCACCCUACCAACCCACAUGGUUAAAAAAAAGCCACUGGUGCUUUUCAGAGAGUCCAACUUAUUCAGGGCAGCAGGGUGCCUCGCUGAAAGAAGACUUGCACGCAAGUGGCCUGCCUGUGUGCCUCCCUGCACUCUGCAGGAUUGAUUUGGCACACUUGGACCUUCUAGGGUUGGACUGUUUGACCGGCCUCAGCUGCUAUUUUAAGCAAUUGACGUCCACCCGCUUUGGGACCAUGUCAAGGGUAUGCCCCCCUGGGGAGGGCUCCCUUAUGUGGGUGUUUACCUACUCCAAGCAGAGCAAAGGUCGAGUGGCGUGACAGCUCACUAUUGGUCAGAGCAGAGUGGAAAGGAUCUGCAAGGUGUCAGGAUCUCAGCAUUGCAGCACACAGGGAUCUAUGGAGUUCCUUAUGAAGGAUGACUACCCAGUGAUGGACUAGCAGUAGAAAGAAGACUGCCAAGAUUCAUGAAUCAGAUAGGACACUCCGGGGAUGGGCGUAUGACGAGCUCUGGAAUCUGGAUAUAAUGGUGGUCAUAGCCAUGAUGGGAUAACCAUACCCAUAAACCAAGCUCUCUCAAAACAGACUCCUAAAUUGAUUACAUUGAGGGAUCCAGAAUCAGACUCUGAACUACCAUCUGAAUGGUUGUGUUGGACCAUGACUCCAACUAUUAUAGACAUCAGAGGACAAUUGUAUAUGUACAUGUUACUAGUCGUAGUUAUAUACUGUUAGAUAAUAGUAUUGUUAGGAGGUGUCUCAAAUGAUUUAUUUUACAUAUACCAGGUAUGCUUAUAGUAUACUUUGGUGUUUGCAGAUGAUUCUGAUCUAAGCUUGUAAUAAAAAAAAAAAAAACAUGUACGUUGACGGGCCGCUCAUUAACCGGGAAUGGGCCAAUUUAGAGGUACAAAAUUGCCAAAUCCUAUGUCAUCUUAUUGGUGGCAUGCAUGAAUGGAUGAAUGGGAUUCCCACCAUACCUCCGUACUAUCUAGUAAACCACAGCCAAGGGAAUGGGGUUGGCUGAAUAAGCAGGGAUAGUAGACCCUGUUGAGCUUGACUCUAGUCUGGCACUGUGAGGAGGCAUGAGAGGUGUACGAUAGGUGGGAUGCCUUCGGGUCAGCAGUGAAAUACCACUACUGUUAUAAUUUGUUCACUUGCCCAGUGAGGCGGGAAAACCCCGCGGGGAUAUCCCUCCUGGCUCCAAGACCCCGGCUCCACCCAGGUGCAACCCACUCCAGGGACAUUGGCAGGUAGGUAGCAUGACUGUCCUAUGAUAGUGCAGGCGUCCUAAGGCAAGCCCAGGGAGGACAGAAACAGCCCAUGGAGAUGAAGGGCAAAAGCUUGCUGGAUUUCGAUUUUACAUAUGACGACAGACCAUGUAAGUGGGGCCUCACGAUCCUUCUGACUUUUUGUGUUUCCAGGAAGAGGUGUCAGAAAAUUACAACAGGGAUGAAUAUCAUGUGAAUGUAAAGCAUUCACAGUGACUUUGCAUUUUGAUCCUUCCAUGCCGGCUCUUCCUAUCAUUGUGAAGCAGAAUUCAGCACAGGUUAGCUGUUCACCCACUAACGGGGAACGUGAGCUGGGUUUAUUCUGUCAUGUCACAGUUUUGUUUUACCAUACGGAUGGUGUUUUGUUACAAUAGUAAUCCUGCUCAGUAUCAGAGGAACCCCAUGUUCAGACAUUUGGUGUAUGUGCUUGGCUGCGGAGUCAAUGGGGUGAAGCUGGAAUCUGUGGGUUUAUGACUGAAUGCCUCUAAAUCACACUACCCCUUAAACUGUAACAGUAACACAGCACUGUGGAGUCGUGAUUGGCCUAGGAUAACCAGCAUCUGGGUCAGUGCAUAGAGCUUCUUGCUUCAGGACUCAAUUGU
rnacentral:rRNA from 1 species